rnacentral:rRNA from 1 species
AAUGGGGGCAACCCUGAUCCAGCCAUGCCGCGUGAGUGAAGAAGGCCUUCGGGUUGUAAAGCUCUUUCGGCCGGGAAGAAAUCGCAUAGGCUAAUACCCUGUGUGGAUGACGGUACCGGAAUAAGAAGCACCGGCUAACUACGUGCCAGCAGCCGCGGUAAUACGUAGGGUGCGAGCGUUAAUCGGAAUUACUGGGCGUAAAGCGUGCGCAGGCGGUUUAGUAAGACAGGCGUGAAAUCCCCGGGCUCAACCUGGGAACUGCGCUUGUGACUGCUAAGCUAGAGUACGGCAGAGGGGGGUGGAAUUCCACGUGUAGCAGUGAAAUGCGUAGAGAUGUGGAGGAACACCGAUGGCGAAGGCAGCCCCCUGGGCCGAUACUGACGCUCAUGCACGAAAGCGUGGGUAGCAAA